CAGUUUCCAUGUACUUUCCAGAACGAAUUCCAUUGUAAUCAAUUCAUAUAUUGAUCGGGCGGAGUCAAUCAAUUGAUAAGAUUGCACGAGUUCAGAAGAAUGUUGUUUUCAAUAUGUCAAAGUCAAUUCAGUGAAAAACAUGGAUCUCAGCACUUGUUAUAAGACGAGUAUUUCGAGUAAGACGAGUAAGGUCGCCUUCAGUGUCUCGUACUUGACUCGACGUAUCUGUCAAGGUAUAAUUAAGAGCUGGAAUUAGAUGGGAUUGUAUAAAGUCGUCUUAUGACAAGUGAAGACAUUCCACUAAAAAGCUCAAAAUAAUUUUCUUAAUGGUCAACGGUCAAUCUCAUCGCCGCCGUCGUGAGUGCGACUGUAGGGCAGCUAAAUAUUCUUUUUAGUACCAACCAUUCAAUUUAGCAUUCAACCCAACACAAGUUGCUCUGACAGGCUGCUCAGUUCGUGCGUUACCGCAUGAAUGUGAGUGGCCCCUUUAAACGCGUGGUGAAAUUUUUGUCAUUUGCUGGGUGAAUGUAAAUAUUCGUGGCGCACUGGGUGAAUUGAGUUCUGUUGUUCACUCCUCUUCCUCUUUGGGAAUUUGUUUCAACUUGUGAUGACAUUUGUAAAAUCUUUAAACUCUUUUGUAAUGUCUUCCUAAUCCUAAUCUAGACUUAAAAAAACACCUUAAUAAAAGCUUAAAAAAUGUAACGUCUUUCAUUUGAAUUUAAAUCAGGAUCACUCAUUAAAUCACUCUUAGAGUGAAAUCAGGAGUGAUUCAGUUUCAUUCCAAAUUUUCGACCACUAUUCUAGUUUGAAUAUGGAGCCAAAUAGAACAAACUCGCUGGUUUCCCCAGCAGUGUUCUAUUCAUGUUUUUCAAAUUUUCAAUUAAAUGAAAUCAUCAUGUUGGCGCCAAGAAAGGCGCCGUAAUUGCAAAGUGGAUUGAUCCGUAGAUAAAAUGACGCAUUCAUACAUCAAAACAAUUGGAAAAUAUUUGAAUCUCGUGAUUCAAUCGUGGUUCAAAUCUGCAGAAAAUAGAACGGAGCGUUAUACCAGUUUUAUUUUUUUGACAUUUGACUGGUAUAAAAAAUGAAUCUAGAACAGCUGCUGGGAAAAUGAAUCUUUCAGAUUCAUAUUCAAACUGACAGCUCCGAACGAUUUGAAUCACUGCUGAUUUUACCCUAAUGGCGCCGGUAGCCUCUUACGCUUAUCUCAAUAAGCUUCAAACGCAGACUCGUCUUUCCUCGGCUAAGCAAGCCUGCCAUUUCUAUUGGAGCCCUAUAGUAGCAUUUAACGCGAAACUGAUUAUGUAUUAUGUGGAGGGUACAUAUAACAAAUUUAUUUGGAACAUUUUUAUUAUGAACUUAUUUAAUGCUGCUAACACUUAUUGGAUUAUCUUCAUACUUGCCUUCAGGUAAUAAUCAAUCAUAACUGUUGGCAUUUGUGGAGUAAUUUUUCAAAAAUCUUUGCAUAUUUCAAUUCAAUCGGAGUUUGUUUAUCGACCCUAAUAAGUGCCUUCCAUAAUGUUCAUAUUUGGUACUGUUCCAACCUUGCCUAGAUAUCUACAUAGGGGCCGCACACUAAUUACGUAAGCAAUUUUUCUGGGUUUUUCAAACCCCCUCCCCCCAUGUAAGAUUUUUCCCAUACAAAUAAUUUUUUUAUUCAUAUGGAACGUAAGAAAAUGUCAAACCCCCCUCCCGCCAUAAGUGCUUACGUUACUAGUUUACGACCCCAUAUGAGUUUAUUUUGCAUAUCCAUAUAUGAGUCAGUAAUGCAUCAAUCAUACUGCAUACACUCCUAUUUAUUUAACGCUUCUUUUUAUUUCAUUUCUGGCUUUCCCGAACACGAUAAGAUAGGUAAUCGUAAUUGAAUGAAACGUCAAGUUUUUUUUUGUAUUUGGAAGCAGAUAUUAUUUUCGUGGAACUCUUUGCAUCACCAGAACCGGAAAUUACUCAUUGGCCAGGGGAAAAAUUCCACAAAUGUACACAAAUUAAUUUCUACGUGGGCGUUUUACUAUCGGUUCCCCGUCUGUAUUGCGAAAACACAGCACACUGGCGCCCGGCCAAGUACUCUAAUCAUGACAAACAAUGUAAAUAUCUUCCCCACCGUCACUGCAACGUGCCGCUAGUGUGUUUGCACAAUAUUGCGAUAGUGAUAAUUGCCACUAAACGAAAUGAGUUUAUCUCAAAUAGUAGGGUAUCUGUUCUAUUGCAAACGUCGAAGUGGUCUUAAUGCUAUCUGUUUCCUAUAUGUGAUCACAUAUAAUUAGGAAAAGUUCAAUCGAAGAAAUUAAAAAAACAAAAUAAUUAGUACUUCAAUGCUUUAUUACGUCGUAUGUUUAUUCUUAAAAUGUGGCCCUAUUUUUUCGCCACUUGAAACUGGCCCUCAAGGUACCAGAUAUAAAACGCUUAUCAGGGAGUUAGGCCACGUGAACGUCAUUUCCGCUUCCUUUUGGGCUACAAUUGCAUUUAUGUCCGAUUUUUUUUUAUUCAUAUGUGUCUGAUGUGCAUCCAAUAUUAACGUGAAGAAUUCGAUCGAUCACACGAGUUGGGUAUUACAUUACAUCGCGAUUACUUGAUUGAUUGGUUAAUAAUUGCUGUUAUCUUCAUAAUUAUUUACCCAAGAAUGUGUCAAGUAUGGUGCGUAGGUAGUCUUUCCUAGAAUGGAAUAACAUUUUUGCUUGCUUACGUUUACAAAAAGAGUAAGGAAUGUGAAUUGGGUCGAAUGCGUAAUAACAGAUUUGCUAGUUGCAGUUGUGUGGCAUUACUUGUGUUGAUUUCUUGUGGUUUACUCGCUAUGCUAAAUUCUACAAAUAUUUUGCUACACACCAGUUGACACUCUUCGGAUGUGUUUGCAUGUAAACAAUAAAUUGCGCUCCGAUUGAUUUUAACGCAAUUUGGAGCAUUUUUUCUUUCUUGUAAACGAGUGAAACAUUGAUUUUUUUUGCACAAAAAACUCAUGCGUAAACCAAUUAAUUCGCGCAUUAGAUUUAGGGGAGGUUUGAGUAUGAUUUCACUUAACCAACGGCUCCUAAUUGAAAGGCCGAAUCGAGCAAAGGUGUGACUGAAAUGCGAUUAUGAUCGGUAAAGCAUGGCUGGUACCUGAAUUGGUUUAGCAAUCAUCUUAUCAGUCUUAGGGAAGAUCCAUUAAUCACGUAGCGCAAAAAUUGACCAUUCUCAACCCUUCCCCCCCAUGAAUCAUUUAAAACUUUUGUAUGGAUUGUCACGACCAAUCCCCUCCCCUUAGCGUUAAGUAAUUUAUGGAUGCUCCCUUAUCUUUCCGAGUAAAAAUGCGAUAUAAUGUUCAAUAUCAGUAAAUAGCGCUUCAGUCGACGAACAUCAUUUGAUUACAGAGUGUAGUUAUAUGUAAGGUUUUUUCGGUUCGUGAAAAAUUCAGCAAUGGUAGUUAUUUUAGUGGAAAAAAGUUUAUAAAGAAUACUAGUUUUUAUUAAUCCAUUUUCAAAAUGUUUAUUAAUUUAAGGAUCGAUGUUUUCCCAUCCGAACCAAUGGUAGCCAACGAGCAACUGCAGCAUCCCCAUCAUCUGCAUCAUAUUCAUCAUCUGUAUUGAAAACAAACGAGAGAAAACCUAAAACUGCGAGAGAGACAUAUAGUGGAACUGCAACUGCAUCUCGUUACAUCUCUCACAUUCGAUCCAGCCUUGGCGGUCGUCGUCACAACAAAAAAC